AAUUCACCUGAUACGACGUGUGUGCAACAUGCGCGAAACCGAAGCGUGAGGAAAACUUCGGUCAGUUUCGCGAACACUAUAGCGCGCUAACCCAGUUAACCAAAUCCAUUCGUUUACAUGCAGUUGUCCAAAAGAAGAUGUAGAUGGCGUUAAACAGCAUUUGCCAUGAUACACCCCCUUUAGGUUGUGCUCAAAGUUGUAACAUGAUGCUUGUUGAACAUCAUUUUACUGACGUUGCAUACUAGCAUUGCAUUAUCGUUAAUGAACCGUGUGGACAUCGCGUUGCAAACUCAGUUGAGACACUCCGUAUACACCGCCUAUCUUCAUGUAUUUGUCAGUUUUGUUUCCUUCUAAACCCUCGACCCUUUCAUCUUGUUUUCUCGACCUUUCCAACAACUAGGGUGCCGUUUCCGUUCACGCCAUACUCGUUAUCCUGGGCUUUGUCGAGUUUAUUACAUGUAUCGUGUCUGCUGCCUACUGCUGUGGGGGACACUCCUGCUGCUGUGCCGAAGCCCCGACCACUGUCACUACUGCCACCACGAUGCAGUAUGGCCAGGCACAUCCAAUGACAGUCCAGGGUCCAGAAAGCGGAAAACAGAUGUCUCAAUACUGAUCAAUGACAUCAUGAUGACGUGAUAUCCAGUAUCUACACUCAAAAGAAUCUCAAACCAAACCUUACUUCAAGAUGAUUGGCACUAAUCGACAUAUUUACUGAAGAAUGUAUGAACCAAAAAUUUGAUAUGUUACACAUGGUUAAGCUUCAAGUUAAUAUAGGGAUGCCCUUUAUCAAACUUGCCGGAGUUGAUCUGUCCACAUAUGAGGGAUAAUAAGGAGUCACUUUCUUAGGAGUUAAGGCCAAUACAAAUUAUAAUGGAAUGUAUUCCAAGGUUGUGGUUGAAUUAUUGUUUCAAAAGUUGGUAUCAAACUUUUUCCGUCAGGAUUUCUAUUUUCAUUUUUUUUUAAUGAUUCAUCCCACGCCCAUCCCCCCAUAACGAGUGAUUUCCAUUCCUAUUACAUUUUACAUACAUAGUAAGAUUUGUCAUAAAGCAUGUCGGCACCCCCCCCCCAGGGAUUUGCCAACAAGAAUAAAAUACUAUCCAGGUUUCGUGACUUAUCCCAAAGCUAUAGGCCAGCCUGCUAAUUCGGCGGAUUGAAAGCUAACGGUGCAAAAACAAUUAAGGACACUAAUUCAGAUUUUAUCAUCUUCAAAAAGAAUCUAAAAGGUAUGGCAGUUUCAUAAACUGGCUGACUAUUGAUAUUAUUUUAACUCUCAUAUCUUCAAGACAAGAAUGGUGUUUCUGAAAUGUCACUGUAGGGGUCUCUUUAUUACAUAUCUGUACAACAUCAUGUAUAUUUUUGAAUACAUUAUGAUUGAUAAUACACUUGUAAUGAUUAUUCUAAAUAUUUUUCCAAAUGUAAUCAUGUAUUAGAAACAAAAUGAAUAUGACGCAUUAUAUAAAUAUCAUAACAGUUUAAUUAAGUAAAAAAAAGAUGUACGCCAUGUCAAUAUUGUAUUUUUUCCUUCU